ACGGCGGCUCCUUGGCUGGAUCAUGGUGAUGAUGCAGCCGGAUCGGCGGGGGCUAGGGAUCUCGCCGGCUGGCGUUUCUUUGAUGCCUGGGUGUUCCAAUGGUGAUGGAACAGAUGUAUAAUGUACGGCACAAGACUUUGGACGAGGCUGAUCUGCGUGGAUGAUUGUGGCUUGGCCGUCGGGCACACAAUCCAUUGAUUCACACAUAAGGUUUGCCUUUUUUUUCUUCUCUUUGCAUUCUUUUCUAUUAAGUUUUUAGAUCUUUUGUGUUGGCCAACGAAAAAAAGAUUUAGCACCCUAGAUUUCUACUUUAUAUCAGUCUGGAAGCUCACCAGCCAAUCAAUCCACUUGGAUUUCAAAGAUAUAAUGGACUAUAUUCACUCACGUUGCCCACGCCCUGUUGUUUCAUAGAUAUAUCUAUGCAUAUUUUGGUAUUGCAUCGUUAAGCAGUUCCUGGGAAUUACGUGCAUCAGGCAUAAGUUUUAUUUCCUCUAUGCUUUAGUUGGAAAUGGCAACUUGAUUUAACUAGAUUGGUUGUAAGCUUCGCUAAAUUCCACAACAGUUAUAUUCGUGAUGGGAUCACACGAAUGCCCUGGUGCCCGGUGUUCAGUGUGUUGUUCGAUGAGCAGUUGGGUAUUCCCAGGCCCAUAUGAGCACUUGGGUGGCUGACUGGUUGUAUGUGGUACUUAAGUUACAUUUUUCUUCUAUAUACAGAAUAAAUUCUGCAAGGCCCGUGGCGACUGAAAAUUCUGCUUUAAGCAGUCCCUGGGAAUUACGUGCAGCAGGUGUAAGUCCUAUUUCCUCUAUGUUGGGAAUUACAUUUUUCUUCUAUAUACAGAAUAAAUUCUGCAAGGCCCGUGGCGACUGAAAAUUCUGCAAGGUUUUAUGUACAUGAAAAGGUAAAUUUCAUAUAGUUGCAAUUGCAACCAGAGAAUCCAUGGUUUGUUAGUUUGUUUCUCAUUAUAUGCAUGGUCUUUCCUUUGAAAUUCCAAUAUUUAUAUUGUAGAAUUGCCAGUUAUAGAACAUAUGACAAGGUAUUUUCAGUUGUGAUAUCAGAGUGUCCUUUUUGUAAUUUUCAUUUGUAGCACUGAGUUGUGCAGAUUUAUGAUGGUCAAAAUAAUGUUGGCUAAAUCUAUUAGUAGAGUUAUUUAUUCUGUUCUGCACACCUGAAUAUUCAGAGUUAUAUGCAUGCAACGACGUCUACAUGUACUCGGUCGAUGAUCACUACUCUGCAGUACAAAAUUUCUAUGAGCACACUUAAGCAGAGUUAUAUGCAGACAAUUAACAGUAAUAGCAAUUGUUGUUAUUUUCAGAGCAGUUUUAAUUUUAAAAAACAUGUACUUGAUUAAUCUUUUCUUUUCUUUCAUGCAACGAAUAGAGUAUACACAAUAUACUACAAUUUGGUGUAACCCACACAAGGAUUCAAGAAGCAGGGCCAAACAGGACUAAUGAAGACAUAGCACAGUACUGUUCUUCAGGAUAUGAUGUUUAUUUUUGCCAAAAUUAUUAAGAGAUGAAGUAGUUUAUUAGGUUUCCAUUCCUUAUAUUGUGCAUUUUUUAUGUGACUAUUCUCGGUACAUAUAUUCUUAAGAAAAACAAGAUAGUUGUUGAAUGCUCUCUGAAACAUAGCAUAGAUUUUUUGUCGAAAAUAAUACUCUAUUUACUUUGAAUGUGAGUUCUGUUUUGCUUUAAACAG
rnacentral:lncRNA from 1 species